UGGAUGCCAUCGUUAUAAAAAUAUUUAAUGAUCAAAAAGAAAGUAUAAUUCUGCAAAGUAAUGGAAUUUAUUUAAUUAUAGUAGAAAGAAGUCGUUUGGAUUUGACGUUUGUCUUACCGCGAUUUAUUGCAGUUGUCAACUAUUCCUAAUUUAGCAAAAAAAUUUGCUCAAAUCAAUGAUUGAAAGUUACGAGCGUUACGAGAAUGAGAGGUUACAUUCAUAUAACAAAAAACACCAUUGCGCUGGAGUCAGUUUAUUGGUAAGAGUGCAUCGAGCUUCAUAAAAAGGUCGGUGACAGCGCUGGACGUCAGUUUAGUACGAUUGGCCGUCGUAAGAGGACAGUACGUUGAUGUUUCAACAACAAGUUUCAACUAUGGUCGCUAUCACUGAUUUCGAAAUUUAGUUUAGUUCUAUAUAUGAUGCAGUUUAAAACAAACUGGCAACUCGCGUGUUCGUUUUUUCCAUCAUAAAAAUGUCAUUAAAUAAUCGGGCUUCAAGAUAUCGUGAAUAUUUUCCGUAUCAAUAAAAAAUGUUCAAUUGACAAAAACACUGAAGUAGUCGCUUUCCUACCAAAUUCCGUUUUGGAUCGAGCAUCGAAUCGAUGGGAAGAAGAUUGCAUUCAAUUUACGAGUUUGCAAAUAUCCGAGUCUAAAUAUCUCGAAAGAAGAAUCGCGUAGGUGGGAGAGUUGUUGGUUCCAAGAGAACAUGUUUGUCGAAAAAGUUCCACGAUAUUUCGCGUGUAGUGCAAACGUACAUAAAUAUAUAGGUAGACAUCGUGAAUCUAAUUUACUUGGGUUUCCAUGUCCGAAUUCUCGUGCUCUCGAUUCCGAGAUGUGUUAUCGUGAUAAUGAGGGCGUGCGUCUUUUCGUAUAUCGAUUGGUGUACACGGAAAAACAAAAUUUCAUCUGAUGCUCUUCGAAGGAGUAAACAUAAGUGUUUCAGGUCACGCGGAAUGUCCCUUAUAUAUGUCUACGUAUCUAUCUAUCCACAUAUAUAUUUGAGAAAUCUCUCGCUGGUGUCUAUGGGACGAGCCACCGCAGCCACCGCCACCCUCGCAGAGCAACGGUUGUGGUUUAUUAUCAUUACGCUUCGUGCAUCGCGAUAAGACGAUCUGCCGCGCGCGGUGUCGGCAUUUUCCUUCGCACAGCUUUGCCAACACCGAAGUACAGAUCAUUUGGUUGGACUGCAACGUUGACUGGAGAGCUGCAUGGACCGAGCUGGUCGAGCUGGAAAACAGGUUUAUGCGAUCCGGCUUGAAGAAACGAGACACAGCCUGGGCGAUUGGAAGAAUCGAACGGGGGAGCGAGGUCCUUGCGAGAAUGUGACAACGAAAGGCGGAAAAGCGGACCCGAAAAAUAAGAGGGAAGACGAGCUCCAUCGAAUUUUAGCAAUAAUAAUAAUCAUAAAAAUGAUAGUAAUAAAAAUAAAUUUUAUUAUGCUUCAAAA